rnacentral:rRNA from 2 species
UUUCGCAAUGCCCGAAAGGGUGACGAAGCGACGCCGCGUGUGGGAAGAAGGCCUUCGGGUUGUAAACCACUGUCGGGAGUUAGGAAAUGCAGGUGCGUUAAUAGCGCACUUGCUUGAUUAAGGCUCCAGAGGAAGCCACGGCUAACUCUGUGCCAGCAGCCGCGGUAAUACAGAGGCGGCAAGCGUUGUUCGGAAUUAUUGGGCGUAAAGAGCACGUAGGCGGCCUUGCAAGUCAGUUGUGAAAGCCUUCCGCUUAACGGAAGAACGGCAUCUGAUACUACAGGGCUUGAGUACGGGAGGGGAGAGUGGAACUUCUGGUGGAGCGGUGAAAUGCGUAGAUAUCAGAAGGAACGCCGGCGGCGAAAGCGACUCUCUGGUCCGAAGCUGACGCUGAGUGUGCGAAAGCUAGGGGAGCAAACGGGAUUAGAUACCCCGGUAGUCCUAGCCGUAAACGAUGGGCACUAAGUAGAGGGGUUUU